rnacentral:rRNA from 1 species
AUGAGCUGGAGGAGAGGGGGAGGGGACGGGGCCGUGGCCAGGCGGUGGGUGCUCCUGCUCUGCGCCGGGAGCUUCUCCCUCGGCCUGCUCUUCACCUCCGGGAUGUGGACAUUGCCCGAGGCAACCGAGGUUGCCAAGCCAAACGAAACAAGAGGGAAAGAGGCCGAGCUCGCCGCCGUAGACUGUGAUUCUACUAAGGUCGGACGGAAACAUGAUUUCAGAGAUACGCUACAGGCCUUGGACACUCACAACGCUGUACAGACACUGGACAAGACGAUAGCAAAUCUGGAGACAGAGCUUUCGGCUGCAAGGACACUGCAGGAGUCAUUCCUCAACGGCUCUCCGGUUUCGCAAGAGUACAAGGCCUCCGAAUCGUCCGGAAGGCGCAAGUACCUCAUGGUCAUCGGCAUCAACACGGCUUUCAGUAGCCGUAAGAGGAGGGAUUCCAUCCGCAACACCUGGAUGCCACAAGGAGAGAAGAGGAAAAAACUGGAAGAAGAGAAGGGCAUCAUAAUUCGUUUUGUCAUUGGUCACAGUGCUAUUUCAGGUGGAAUUGUGGACAGGGCAAUCGCGGCAGAGGAUAGGAAACAUGGAGACUUCAUGAGGCUUGAUCAUGUGGAAGGAUACCUUGAAUUAUCUGGAAAAACCAAGACAUAUUUUGCGACGGCUGUUGCUUUAUGGGAUGCUAACUUCUAUGUCAAAGUUGAUGAUGAUGUGCAUGUAAAUAUAGCCACCCUUGGGCAGAUUUUGUCCAAACAUAUUUCGAGGCCCAGGGUAUAUACUGGAUGCAUGAAGUCUGGUCCUGUGCUAUCCGACAAGGAAGUCAGAUAUUAUGAACCCGAGCACUGGAAAUUCGGGGAUAAAUAUUUCCGACAUGCCACCGGUCAGCUUUAUGCUAUUUCAAAAGAUUUGGCAACCUACAUCUCCCUAAAUAAGCAUGUGUUGCACAAGUAUGUCAACGAGGAUGUUUCUUUGGGGGCUUGGUUCAUAGGGUUAGAUGUUGAGCAUAUUGAUGACCGUCGACUAUGCUGCGGUACCCCACCAGAUUGCGAGUGGAAAGCCCAGGCGGGGAACACCUGCGCGGCCUCAUUCGACUGGAGAUGCAGCGGCAUAUGCAACACCGUGGAGAACAUCCAGGGAGUGCACAACAAAUGCGGGGAGAGCGAAAAGGCGCUCUGGACCGCUUCUUUCUAA